rfam:Xenopus laevis strain J chromosome 7S, whole genome shotgun sequence.
CCAAAGGCUCUUUUCAGAGCCACCCGCACAGUCACUCUCAAGAGCUAU